CUGGCUGCACUGUAUAGACUGGUAGCACCCAGUCUUUCUCUCUCUCCCCUCUGGCUUCCACUCUGUUUGGUUUUGGCCUUUUCAAUUAUGUUAAAUAAAUGUGUUUUUAGUUAGAACUGGUCUUCCCUCCUUUUGUCAUGGCUUCUGAGCUGGGUCGUGACAAAUUGGGGGCUUGUGCAGGAUCAAAUUAACCAGUUUGGUAAGAUGAAGUUUAGUCUUUGGAAUUUUGACCUGGUUUCAUUUGCAUCGGUACCUCCUGUGGAAGUGGGGGUUUGUUUGUAUGUAGGCAUUUGGCACUUAUUUAAAUGCAUCUGGGAAGUAUCAUAUAUCUGCAGUCCAGAGUUGAUCAUCACUCACUGAAGUCCCACACCAUAACUUACUGCGAUCCAAAGCUCUUGGGUGCCAUUUGGCCUGCCCGAAGUGUCUGACUGGGAAAGACAUUACGAGCCAAACCCUGCCAUGGCAUCGUCAGCUCACCGUGGCAGAGACAAUCAUCUCUAACAAGGACUGGUUUGUGUCCGAGUGCCACUGUGUACAUCUGAGUAAGUCAGAGACAGAGUGUUUAUGGACAUAAAGAGUGCAAAUGUGGUGCUGAUACUGGGGAAAGAGAGAGAGAGUAUGUUAAAGACUAUUAAGUGGCAAGAGUGAGUGAAUGAAGUCACUGAGAUUUGCUUUUUUGAAACAUCCUGUCUGCUAAUAACACAGAAUAUGAAAUUACAGUAAAUGUAGUGAGCUAGUAUCCAUUUGAACUCUUGCGAGCCAGCUCUAUGACUUUGGAGGAAACACAACUGCCAAACAGAUAAACAGAUGUUGACAACAUAUAUGCGUGCACACACACACUCAUGGUUGGUAGUAUUAAGCAACAUUUAAUGCACCAUUCCAGCGAAGAUAAGCCCUGUCUGGCCAGUGCAGAUGUUCAGAUGAAGGGCAGGCCAGUUGUUUCUUAAAAAUAUCUUCAGUAUUUUUCAGCAUAGCACAAAUACAGCAUUACAUAAAAUACAAUACUCACCAACAGCACAUAGCUGGAAAGAGGACAACAAUGCUGUCAACAAGACGAGAGCAAGGGGAUUUCACCAAAGUCAGCAGGAGGCCAGUGGAGAAAAAACAUUGUUUGCGCAAGUAACCUAAUGGCUGUAAACAAAGAAUUAUAAUAUAAAUAGACAAUAACACGUUAUCCCCCUCAAGUCAACAACCUAGAUUCCUCAUUCUCAUAAUUUCCAUGGCGGUCACUGAGUGUUUAGGACAUUAAACAUAUUGUAUUGAUCAAGUUUUAGAUUUUUUUUUAAGCUUGUUUUUGACAAACAAAAAGCUGCAGUUAAACUGAAUAAUUGACAUUUUGGGAAAUGUGAUUGUUGCGUUAUUACACUGAGUGUUACAUUAUGAAGCCUCAGCCAGCAGUUUAGCUUGGUUAUCUUGGUUAUCUCUAGUUUAGCAUGCACAAGGGAAACCUUACCAACAAAAUCCAUCUAACAGCACCUCUAAUGCUCACUAACAUAUUACACUUGGGAAACCUGGGAAUGAAUUAGUU